GCGCUUGAGGAGGGGUCCGCGGCUGAUUAGCUAGUUGGUGGGGUAAAAGCCUACCAAGGCAAAGAUCAGUAGCCGGCCUGAGAGGGCACACGGCCACACUGGCACUGAGACACGGGCCAG
rnacentral:rRNA from 1 species